rnacentral:rRNA from 1 species
UCUCUCUCUGGGGGGGGGCGAGUAAGGGAUCUUCCGCAAUUGACGAAGUCUGACGGAGCAACGCCCGCGUGAGUGAUGAAGGUUUUUCUGGAUCGUAAGCUCUGUUGUUACGAGAAGAACAAGUACCGUUCGAAUAGGGCCGCUACGUGGACGGUACCUAACGCAGAAAGCACGGCUAACUACGUGCCAGCAGCCGCGGUAAUACGUAGGUGGCAAGCGUUGUCCCGGAAUUAUUGGGCGUAAAGGGCUCGCAGGCGGUCUUCUUAAGUCUGAUGUGAUAAGCCCCCGGCUCAACCGGGGAGGGUCACUGGAAACUGGGGGAACUUGAGUGCAGAAGAGGAGAGUGGAAUUCCACGUGUAGCGGUGAAAUGCGUAGAGAUGUGGAGGAACACCAGUGGCGAAGGCGACUCUCUGGUCUGUAACUGACGCUGAGGAGCGAAAGCGUGGGGAGCGAACAGGAUUAGAUACCCUGGUAGUCCACGCCGUAAACGAUGAGUGCUAAGUGUUAGGGGGUUUCCGCCCCUUAGUGCUGCAGCUAACGCAUUAAGCACUCCGCCUGGGGAGUACGGUCGCAAGACUGAAACUCAAAGGAAUUGACGGGGGCCCGCACCAGCGGUGGGGCAUGUGGUCUAAUUCGAAGCAACGGGAAGAACCUUACCAGGUCUUGACAUCCUUUUACAAUCCUAGAGAUAGGACGUCCCCUUCGGGGGCAGAGUGACAGGUGGUGCAUGGUUGUCGUCAGCUAGUGUCUUGAGACGUUGGGUUAAGUCCCGCAACGAGCGCAACCCUUGAUGUUAGUUGCCAGCAUUCAGUUGGGCACUCUAAGGUGACUGCCGGUGACAAACCGGAGGAAGGUGGGGAUGACGUCAAAUCAUCAUGCCCCUUAUGACCUGGGCUACACACGUGCUACAAUGGACAGAACAAAGGGCAGCGAAACCGCGAGGUUAAGCCAAUCCCACAAAUCUGUUCUCAGUUCGGAUCGCAGUCUGCAACUCGAAUGCGUGAAGCAGCAGUCGAUCGUAAUCGCAGAGCAGCAUGACACGGAGGUA